UAGGGAAUCUUCCGCAAUGGACGAAAGUCUGACGGAGCGACGCCGCGUGAGCGAAGAAGGUCUUCGGAUCGUAAAGCUCUGUUGUUAGGGAAGAAGAAGUGCCGUUCGAACAGGGCGGCGCGGUGACGGUACCUAACGAGAAAGCCCCGGCUAACUACGUGCCAGCAGCCGCGGUAAUACGUAGGUGGCAAGCGUUGUCCGGAAUUAUUGGGCGUAAAGCGCGCGCAGGCGGUUCCUUAAGUCUGAUGUGAAAUCUCGCGGCUCAACCGCGGGCGGGCAUUGGAAACUGGGGAACUUGAGUGGAGGAGAGGGGAGCGGAAUUCCACGUGUAGCGGUGAAAUGCGGAGAGAUGUGGAGGAACACCAGUGGCGAAGGCGGCUCUCUGGCCUGUAACUGACGCUGAGGCGCGAAAGCGUUGGGGGCGAACAGG
rnacentral:rRNA from 1 species